rnacentral:rRNA from 1 species
AUCGGAUACUGGGCGUAAGCGCACGCAGGCGGUCUGUCAAGUCGGAUGUGAAAUCCCCGGGCUCAACCUGGGAACUGCAUUCGAAACUGGCAGGCUAGAGUCUUGUAGAGGGGGGUAGAAUUCCAGGUGUAGCGGUGAAAUGCGUAGAGAUCUGGAGGAAUACCGGUGGCGAAGGCGGCCCCCUGGACAAAGACUGACGCUCAGGUGCGAAAGCGUGGGGAGCAAACAGGAUUAGAUACCCUGGUAGUCCACGCCGUAAACGAUGUCGACUUGGAGGUUGUGCCCUUGAGGCGUGGCUUCCGGAGCUAACGCGUUAAGUCGACCGCCUGGGGAGUACGGCCGCAAGGUUAAAACUCAAAUGAAUUGACGGGGGCCCGCACAAGCGGUGGAGCAUGUGGUUUAAUUCGAUGCAACGCGAAGAACCUUACCUACUCUUGACAUCCAGAGAACUUUCCAGAGAUGGAUUGGUGCCUUCGGGAACUCUGAGACAGGUGCUGCAUGGCUGUCGUCAGCUCGUGUUGUGAAAUGUUGGGUUAAGUCCCGCAACGAGCGCAACCCUUAUCCUUUGUUGCCAGCGGUUAGGCCGGGAACUCAAAGGAGACUGCCAGUGAUAAACUGGAGGAAGGUGGGGAUGACGUCAAGUCAUCAUG